AUUCUGCGUCAUUUUGAUUAAGCGGGAAUAUUAAACAGUAUAUUUUAGGCUUGCUAUAACCUUGCUGUAACCUGGCUGUAAUAUGCCAUGGCAGUAAUACAGGAUUACUGUAAAUAGCGAAAGUGCGGCACCCGACAUCACAUCACACGGAACACCCAGCUCGUUAUCACCCGCAGAUACUGGAGAAGGAGACGCGCUACCCGGUGGAUUGCUGAAAGUUCGGUGAGUUUGGUUUAUUUUAUGUUUUUCAUGUAUCAUGAGGUUUUAGGAUUUUACGCUCUAGUGUACCGCAACAUCGAGAUGCAUUGAGACUGCAAAGUUAACGUUAGCUAGCUAACCCAGUGAGCACCAACCAGGAUUUCAACAUUGAUUGAGUCUAUGUUCUUUCCGACUUGUCGUGCCCAAAGACAACAACAACUAUAGUGGUACAAGCCAGGCAAUUACGUCACGUUCGCGCGUCAAAGCAACUCGGACGGGGGGUUUACGAGACAAAUGGAUCGCACAGCAAGUUCUACACUACAAGUGUGGUCCAUUGUCUUUGCACCCUGAGGAGGGCAUCCCUGCCGCAAGGCGUUGGUGCGGUUUAUGAGUUUUCUUGUGUGAUCUGAUUUUCACCAUUGCUGUCCAGUUUUGAUCCUCAGUGAGGGGUCUGAUCUUCACCGGGUUCCCAGGCAGGCAUUCCAGUCCACUUAUCCGCCAAAGUC
rnacentral:lncRNA from 15 species